AGUGAACGCUGGCGGCAGGCCUAAUACAUGCAAGUCGAACGGCAGCACAGCAGAGCUUGCUCUGUGGGUGGCGAGUGGCGGGACGGGUGAGGAAUACAUGGGAAUCUGCCCAGUCGUGGGGAUAACGUAGGGAAACUUACGUUAAUACCGCAUGCGCCCUUCGGGGAAAGCCGGGGACCUUCGGGCCUGGCGCGAUUGGAUGAGCCCAUGUCGGAUUAGCUAGUUGGCGGGGUAAUGGCCCACCAAGGCGACGAUCCGUAGCUGGUCUGAGAGGAUGAUCAGCCACACUGGAACUGAGACACGGUCCAGACUCCUACGGGAGGCAGCAGUAGGGAAUAUUGGACAAUGGGCGCAAGCCCUGAUCCAGCCAUGCCGCGUGAGUGAAGAAGG
rnacentral:rRNA from 1 species